rnacentral:lncRNA from 1 species
UAACCUAAUACUCAGAUUAUAUAUAAAUGAGCUGAACUUUUUCUGAAGGUCAGUCACCUUAUUUAGGGGACAAAAAAGGCCAAGUUUUUGUCAGAUUUUAAGGUAUCUUGAAAAGAGGUAGAGCCAUUAUUACCUCUCUCCUUUUUAUUGAAUAACUCCCUCUCCUUUGGUUUCCUCGUUUGCCUAGCUACUUGAUUAACAAUAGAAUGCUUUUGUGAAAUAUUCUUCCUCCUAUUGUUCAUAUCUUUUUCAUAUUAGAAUUGGUUUUAUAAAAGAAAUCAUCAUGGACCUUUCCCUUUUAGAUUUCAAGGUCAACACAAUCUCCUGUCGUCUCUUCCUUAAAAUGACUUUUUUGGCCCACAAAAUGAGUUUUAUUUCAAAGGGAAAAAGUAAAGAAUUUCUUUGCUCCUUUUCUAAUAUUCAGUGGCAGGAUUUGAGAUCUCAAGGUUCAAGUAUACAAUAAGAAAAAUCCACAAAAGAUAUGAUUUCAUCUAAUUUUCAGGUGAAAGUAAUUUUUUUUUCCAUUUUAAAAAUGAGGAUUAGCUAAAACAGUAUUUUUUUCAAAUGAGGAACUCCUCAAUAUGUUCUUCUCAGGUAUCCUCUCCAGCAGAAUUUGACAAGGAUCUUUUUAGGUGAGUCUCACAUAUUAAAAAUGAAUUACCUGGCUCUGGUUUCAGACAUAUUAG